GCAGUUUCACAUUGAUAACAUCUAGGAGUCUUUGAUCUUGGUAUGUAGAACAUAUGAAUAUUCUAUGAAUUAAUAUUUGACUUGUUUGAACGAUAGACAUUUGCCGUUGUUUGUGGACAUUUACGUGACAGCAAACCAGCACAUUUUAUCCUUAGCGCUUUACUCCUAGGGAAAUCCAUUAGCAUGAUGGAAGAAAGAAGUGGUUUUAAGGUUUUUUUUUAUACGUUAUUAAGUUCUUGCAUCGUAAGAGGUUUAUGA